UAACAAGGUAUUAUACAAUUCAGAUUUCAGGGGAAUCCUAUAAAGAUGCAUGCAUGCUUUCAAUCCAAUUNAGUUCACAUAAUCAAUCUUUUUCCAACAGAUGUUUUGUUCAUGAAUGAUCAAUCAACUAAGCAUAGAUGUAAACAUGGAUUUAACAAUUCUCACCAAGCAAGUGUUUCACUCAAUCACUCAAGUGUUUAGGAGGUCACUCUACUUUCUACUAUUCACAUGUCACAUAAAACAAUAUUGUCAUUUAUCUAAAACAAUCAAAAUCUUCACAUGCAAAUGUUAUCAUAAGGACUUUUCCAAGGCUUGUAAUGAGGCUGGGCUAUCAAGAAAAAUUGGUUUUUCUGGAAUACAAAAUCCUUGAGUUAAGAGAGUUUAAAUCAUCAUUCAAAGUUCAAGCACACUCUCUUUUCAACCAAUCUCACUCAUUCCCAACUUCUUCCCUUUUUCCUUUUUACAUUGAGCUCAUUUUUCAUGCUUUUUCUUUGUUCUUCUAUUUUCUUUUUCUCGUGCAUUUUUCUUUUUCAACUUUUGAACUCAAUAUUUUUUUUUCUUUUGCCUUUCACUUUCCCCAUACAACCCCAAACUUGAACCUUUUCAACACAUACAAUUAUUCUCAACCCAAC
rnacentral:lncRNA from 1 species